GACGAACGCUGGCGGCGUGCCUAAUACAUGCAAGUCGAACGCUUUGAUUUUCACCGGAGCUUGCUCCACCGAAAAUCAAAGAGUGGCGGACGGGUGAGUAACACGUGGGCAACCUGCCCAACAGAGGGGGAUAACACUUGGAAACAGGUGCUAAUACCGCAUAAUUUGUUUUUCCGCAUGGAAGAAUAAUAAAAGACGCUUCGGUGUCACUGUUGGAUGGGCCCGCGCUGCAUUAGUUAGUUGGUGGGGUAACGGCCUACCAAGACCAUGAUGCAUAGCCGACCUGAGAGGGUGAUCGGCCACACUGGGACUGAGACACGGCCCAGACUCCUACGGGAGGCAGCAGUAGGGAAUCUUCGGCAAUGGACGAAAGUCUGACCGAGCAACGCCGCGUGAGUGAAGAAGGUUUUCGGAUCGUAAAACUCUGUUGUUAGAGAAGAACAAGUGAGAGAGUUACUGUUCUCACCUUGACGGUAUCUAACCAGAAAGUCACGGCUAACUACGUGCCAGCAGCCGCGGUAAUACGUAGGUGGCAAGCGUUGUCCGGAUUUAUUGGGCGUAAAGCGAGCGCAGGCGGUUUCUUAAGUCUGAUGUGAAAGCCCUCGGCUCAACCGAGGAAGGUCAUUGGAAACUGGGGAACUUGAGUGCAGAAGAGGAGAGUGGAAUUCCAUGUGUAGCGGUGAAAUGCGUAGAUAUAUGGAGGAACACCAGUGGCGAAGGCGACUCUCUGGUCUGUAACUGACGCUGAGGCUCGAAAGCGUGGGGAGCAAACAGG
rnacentral:rRNA from 1 species